ACCUGGGAAUGGCGUUUUGAACUGGCAGUCUAGAGUGCGUCAGAGGGGGGUGGAAUUCCACGUGUAGCAGUGAGAUGCGUAGAGAUGUGGAGGAACACCGAUGGCGAAGGCAGCCCCCUGGGAUGACACUGACGCUCAUGUACGAAAGCGUGGGUAGCAAACAGGAUUAGAUACCCUGGUAGUCCACGCCCUAAACGAUGUCAACUGGUUGUUGGGGGAGUGAAAUCCCUUAGUAACGAAGCUAACGCGUGAAGUUGACCGCCUGGGGAGUACGGUCGCAAGAUUAAAACUCAAAGGAAUUGACGGGGACCCGCACAAGCGGUGGAUGAUGUGGAUUAAUUCGAUGCAACGCGAAAAACCUUACCUACCCUUGACAUGGCAGGGACUUUCCAGAGAUGGAUUGGCGCCCGAAAGGGAACCUGCACACAGGUGCUG
rnacentral:rRNA from 1 species